UGGCUUUUUCGAGUUUUGACCUCAGUCAAAUGCACACUUAUCAUGGUUUGUUUGUUUGCCUGGAAAACCGAGGAGAAGUGUAGAGAAAACGACUUCGAAAAUCCUGUCCUCAUUUUCUCUUCCCUUCCCACUGUUUUCCUGGCACUCGAAUGGAGUAUCAACAGUGACAUCCCCCGUGGAACGUUUUCGGGCUAUGUGUGCCUGUAUUGUAACCACUAACCGUCUACUCUCUCUCCGAAUGUAGAGUAUAAUUGAGUUGACAAAUUAAAGCAAGGGUGGACAAAAUUGAGGGCCUCUUGCACCUAAUCAGGCUGCAGAAUAUUUUCAUUUACGAAGCCUAAACUUAAAUCUUGUUGUUCCAAGGCUCUACUACAUUGAGUAAAAUGUUGCAGAAACAGAAAGGCUUAUAUUGAUAAAUGUGUUGAAGGCAUGAAUAUCGAUUACAAGCUGCUUUGACAUUAUAUAUCCUACCAUUUUAGAUAUAUAUCCUACCAUUUUAGAUACGUGACAGGACUGAGCUGACUAUACAUUUGGCAGAAAGCUGAUCACUACAAUGCUAUGCCGAACAGACCAAACCUUUUGAUUUGUUGCUAUACAAGUUGACUUUUAAAAUCUUUCCCAUGCUGCAGCAUCAACUCUUGCAUUAAAAUUAGCUUUGGGUUCAGGUAAAUGACUUUUUCCUAUGGCUGAAGCCAGUGACAGAUGUGAGCCUUUCUUUCAUACCUUGAUUUCAGCAAAGUCUGCUUAUUUAUUGGUCAGCUUAUUGGUAAUGAAUCUUACCAUAAAAGAAAUGUAUCUGAAUUUUCUUUAAUAUAUUAUGUUUUACUGUUAGAGUUGACUUUAGGUUCUUUGCUAAAAUGUUUGAAACUGAAAACUAAAACUAUAUGAAUUUUCAACUUUCUGGGAGCCUAAAAUUUACAUGAAUCAUUAAAUUCCUGAAUCCACAAGGCCGUCAAUCAGUUGAAACUUGUUUAGAGAUAUUAAACAAUUAGUUCAUCACGCUUGAUGCAGGCAUAUAUGUACCUUUCCCUCCUUGUUAACUCUGCUGAUUUAUUUAUUUCCAAUACCGUGGCACAGAAUCUUGUUGAAAGACUGACAUAUCUGAAUAUCAAAAUUUUAAUAUCAUAGUUUUUCAGUUUGACCUUAGGCUGACAAUUCUGCUCUACACGUUAAAGCUGCCAUGUGGAAGAGAGAAAACCAAACAUUAUGGCUAGAGUGAAAAAUGGGGCAUUCCGAGAAUCAAACUCGGGACCUCUCGCACCCAAAGCGAGAAUCAUACCACUAGACCAAAUGCCCAGCCGAUGAUAUAUUAUGACAAUCUGUCUUAAUGCUCUUACAACCGCAAGUUGAAGGUAUACAGCAUAGUUUUCCCCUGGAAGGUCAAUUAGCCAUGACACUUUGAGGUGUGCCAGUCUUCUUAUUGGUUUUAUGACCUCUUUUCUAGCAAAAAGAGUGGAAAGAGUAAUCAUUUGAGUUUCAAGUCUAAUGCCUUUCUUUUAGUAAAUAAGUUUCAAGUCUAAUGCCUUUAUUUUAGUUAAUAAAUAGUACAUUUCUCUCCAAAGGAUCAAAGUUUCUAUGGUGUAAAUUGAGAACCACUGAUUUUUUGUGUAGUUCUACUGGCUCUUUAUUGCACUUGCAGUUGGGAACUCCGAGUGAACACUGGACUCUAGAUGGCAAUCUGUUUUCAGGUUUUAAUGUUGUUCUGUCCACCCAUAAAAUGAAGCAUUUCUUCUCAAUUUAUUGAUAAAAAAUGUUCUGAGAAAAGUUUCUGGGUUAAGUGAGAGUUUUGAGUUGAGCGGUGGUCAAUUAAUAUACUAGUACAACGGUGCCUUUUGGCUCUUUCUAGUCAAAUCUUACCUGCUGUAAGAAAUUAAUUUCCCUUUUGAUUUAUCUGAUUUAACUUUGCAGCUUAUAUCCCUCAAAAUUGUAUCUCCUUUAUUUGGUGUUGCCUGCUGCAGUCCUUGACCAGAUGUUCUUUUCUGGUGUUAUUAGAAGGUUGUAAGAAGAAAUAGACCAGUCAUAUUCUGGUGAGGUGUUCUUCUCAAUACGGUGAACAAAUUCACAUCACUGCUAUGUAAAGAAUGUCCAAACAAUGGUAUGUUUCUAUUGUCUAAUUUUGGCUCUCAAAAUGUUUUCAUACAUUUGGCAGGGUUGAGGUAUGCCAUACAUGGUUUUGUUUGAUUGCUUGUGCACAAGCACAUUUCUAGAUUUCCUGCCUUGAUUUCACAACCAACUGUUCUUUACUUGUCAAUUUCCAUGAUGUAGGAUCUUAUCUGAAAGGCACUCAUAUUGUAUGUGUAUUCUGACGUUGUCAUAUUGUAUUGAAGUUGACUUUGACUAGAUCACAGGGCUAGGUCAAUUUUUGUAACAAUAAUAUGAGAACCUACCCCAAAAAAUAAAUAAUAAAAAAAUGGAAAUAAAAAAUUAUUAGAAACUGAAUCCUUAAAAUCUGACUGGAAAAUUUUUGGGGCAUUCCGAGAAUCGAACUCGGGACCUCUCGCACCCAAAGCGAGAAUCAUACCACUAGACCAAAUGCCCAUUUCUUGAUGUGUAUUUUAUUUAAAUGUUAAUUAAUGUCUUCUACUAUUGCUCCUGAUAAUUUUAAAGUGAGUUGUAGCCACUCCAGUGGAUCAAACAUUUUCUAUUGUCAGGCCUUUUGGCAGGUCUUAUUUCCAUUCCUCUAGUGGAUGGAAUGCAAAAAACUGUAUAGAAAUCCUCUAGAGUGGAUUCCUUUUCUUUUCCCCAAUUGCUAGAGACAAAAGCAGGGAUGGUUAUGCGUCUCAAUAUGCGUGUAUAAAUGUACAGACACACAUGUAUAUGUUUAUUUUCAUUGUGACGAAUGAAUAAAAUGCCACAAAUGACAUUAUUUGGCACAAAAUUUGAGUAUUUGAAAUAUUUUUCCGUUUAGUUGCUCCGGGGGAAGAUAAUAUUUUACUGCAGAGGAUGUGUGCUUCACAAUUCAUCUUCUUUGCUUCAGCACCUCUUGCUGCAUUCUCUGUGAAAAUGUUAAUUACAAUAUGAUCUCUAUUCUGGAAUAUUUUUCAAUUAUGAUGCAAAUCAACUAAAAUGUAAUAUUCAUUUGUCAUAAUAUUUUGAGAUCCUUGUCUGAAAAUAUUACAUAUUUACCAAGUCAGGACUCUAGAAGGCACAGAACUGGGAAUUAUUUUUGUUUUAGUCUACAGUUAAAUUAGGCUUAGUUGUGCUGAUUGACUAGAGUUGAUUCUAUCAGUGACGUUUCAUGUUAGGCAACAUGUCAUAAUUAUGUUUAGUGAUAAGAGUUGAGUACUUAUCAAUGGAGUUUCUUGCUAGAUAGUACGCCAUUCAUGAGUAGUUAUGAUGUGAGGAUGCAUGGUAGCAUAGCUUGAAAGUAUAGCAAAUAAGCGGGGAAGGGAUGAAUGGCGAGUGUGGUGGAAAGCUGAUCACAAAAUGCCACAUUCAAGAUAUCAGAACCUUCUACAUGUGAAGGGGCAUUCCGAGAAUUGAACUUGGGACCUCUCGCACCUUAAGCAAGAAUCAUACCACUAGACCAAAUGCCCAAUUGCCGAGGCUGAUUUUUCUAAUUCUCUUUGCAUGAAGUUUCUGAUAAAUUUGAAGUGAAUUCUUUUCUUGUGGUUCAACAGUUUCUGGUCUCUUGGAUUUGAAUGAAGUUUCUUAUGUCAUUUCCCUGGUAUGUUAAAGAGUGAAUAACUUCUAAAAGUUCUUUUUCACUCUUUGGAUCAAUUGGAACUUGUGUAUACAGAGGGUAAUGGUACUGAAUGUUUGAAUUUAGAAUGCUUGAUGCAGGAA